rnacentral:lncRNA from 1 species
GCAGUGAAAGAAGAGGGGCAGGGUCAGAGCCUGGAAGAUUCUGUUAGGCCAUGCCCACAUUGUUUGCAGUUCACUCAACUGUUUUUGACACGUUGUUUUUGUAAAUAAUGAUGCCAAGGGAAACAUUUGUGAGGGAAAGAGAUGAAAGAGGUGCUAAAGGAGUAAUAUUCCAGGACUUUGAAGAUCCAUGGAAAGUCAGUAGGAAGUCUUGCCUCUUGUUUGCCACUGCUGUCACUCCACUACCAUUCACCUGAAAAAUGUUACUACUCUAGUGAUUUACAAGACAGGUAAAAUGUGGAUUUAUUGUGUGCAUUGUAGCUCUGCUGUAAUCAUAGUUCUCUAGUAAAAGUGUGAGAUUACUUUGAUGCAUCACAGGACAACAUGACAGGCAAUAAUUUAUGUCAAAUGGCAUUAGAUGUAAGUGGUCAAAGGCAAAAUGUUGUGUCUGCUCUGUGUUUUGCUGUUUAGUUAGUACAUCCUAAGCAGGAUAUGCAAAUGUUUUUGCACACAUUUACAAAGCUAGAAAUAAGAUGGGGGAUUGGGAGUAGUCAUAUGACUUAGACCGGUGAGUAAAGGACUAAGAGGCAUCACUUGCUUCCAUAUCCCCUUAAAUAAAUCACAUGCUGCAGUAUGCCGACGAGCA